rnacentral:rRNA from 1 species
GAGGUGGAGCAAAACUAUAAAAGCGAUCUCAGUUCGGAUUGCAGGCUGCAACCCGCCUGCAUGAAGUCGGAAUCGCUAGUAAUCGCGGGUCAGCAUACCGCGGUGAAUACGUUCCCGGGCCUUGUACACACCGCCCGUCACACCACGAAAGUUGGUAACACCCGAAGCCGGUGGCCUAACCCUUAGGGGAGGGAGCUGUCGAAGGUGGGACUGAUGAUUGGGGUGAAGUCGUAACAAGGUAAC